AAGACUAUACUUUCAGGGAUCAUUUCUAUAGUUUGUUACUAGAGAAGUUUCUCUGAACCUGUAGAGCACCGGAAGCCACGAGGAGGAGGUGCAGCAUUCUCUCCUGAGCGUGAAGCCGGCUCUUGGUGUUGCUUCGCUGCAACUGCCAUUUGCCACUGAUGAUCGUUCUUCUCUCCCUUUUAGGGGGAGUAAGAGGGAGAGGACGUGGUCUGAAUGGUU
ensembl:snoRNA